GGCUGGGGUAAAAACUGUGACACCAAUCAGGCCCUCGGAUUGGAAUUGCCCACCCCUGGUUUCAGGGUUUCUAAAAUCCCCUAUGAGAAAAAUGAAUGCUGCAGUUCAUCUUUGAGGACAUUCCCACCACGGAGUGACUGACCAGUUGAAAGGGAUACAUUUACUCUGACUCAAAAUGAUUUAAAUCAUGGAGGAAGGGAGAGGCAUAUUGUCGGGGACUGAUUCCUUCUGUCAUUUCCUCCAUAUGGUUUAUCAGUGCCAGAUAAAUCACUGUGACAGCCAAACAGAAGCCAGGAAGGCCCCCAGGAGAAUUUAGCAGUACGUCCAACCGGCCUCACAACCGCAGACCACGUGUAACCAUGCCAGCCCAGGGCCUCCACAUCCGGCUUCUUCACCUGCGCGAUUGUCUGACACCAGCCACCCGGACAGCUGAUGAAACUGAGUAGUAUUUCUGUCUGUAAUAAAGCCCUUUUGUUGGGAAAAACUAAUUCUGGUGGACCUGGCUCCCAAGUGGGUGGGCCUUUGCGCUUCAAGGCCCACCCAUGGCUGAUAUCCUGCCUAGUCAUUUUAUAUCGAUAGAUUAAGGCCAAAUGAAUUUAUUUCAAUUGACUGAUUUCUUUAUAUGAACUGUA
ensembl:lncRNA